GGUUAAGCGACUAAGCGUACACGGUGGAUGCCCUGGCAGUCAGAGGCGAUGAAGGACGUGCUAAUCUGCGAUAAGCGUCGGUAAGGUGAUAUGAACCGUUAUAACCGGCGAUUUCCGAAUGGGGAAACCCAGUGUGAUUCGUCACACUAUCAUUAACUGAAUCCAUAGGUUAAUGAGGCGAACCGGGGGAACUGAAACAUCUAAGUACCCCGAGGAAAAGAAAUCAACCGAGAUUCCCCCAGUAGCGGCGAGCGAACGGGGAGCAGCCCAGAGCCUGAAUCAGUGUGUGUGUUAGUGGAAGCGUCUGGAAAGGCGUGCGAUACAGGGUGACAGCCCCGUACACAAAAAUGCACAUACUGUGAGCUCGAUGAGUAGGGCGGGACACGUGGUAUCCUGUCUGAAUAUGGGGGGACCAUCCUCCAAGGCUAAAUACUCCUGACUGACCGAUAGUGAACCAGUACCGUGAGGGAAAGGCGAAAAGAACCCCGGCGAGGGGAGUGAAAAAGAACCUGAAACCGUGUACGUACAAGCAGUGGGAGCACGCUUAGGCGUGUGACUGCGUACCUUUUGUAUAAUGGGUCAGCGACUUAUAUUCUGUAGCAAGGUUAACCGAAUAGGGGAGCCGAAGGGAAACCGAGUCUUAACUGGGCGUUAAGUUGCAGGGUAUAGACCCGAAACCCGGUGAUCUAGCCAUGGGCAGGUUGAAGGUUGGGUAACACUAACUGGAGGACCGAACCGACUAAUGUUGAAAAAUUAGCGGAUGACUUGUGGCUGGGGGUGAAAGGCCAAUCAAACCGGGAGAUAGCUGGUUCUCCCCGAAAGCUAUUUAGGUAGCGCCUCGUGAAUUCAUCUCCGGGGGUAGAGCACUGUUUCGGCAAGGGGGUCAUCCCGACUUACCAACCCGAUGCAAACUGCGAAUACCGGAGAAUGUUAUCACGGGAGACACACGGCGGGUGCUAACGUCCGUCGUGAAGAGGGAAACAACCCAGACCGCCAGCUAAGGUCCCAAAGUCAUGGUUAAGUGGGAAACGAUGUGGGAAGGCCCAGACAGCCAGGAUGUUGGCUUAGAAGCAGCCAUCAUUUAAAGAAAGCGUAAUAGCUCACUGGUCGAGUCGGCCUGCGCGGAAGAUGUAACGGGGCUAAACCAUGCACCGAAGCUGCGGCAGCGACACUAUGUGUUGUUGGGUAGGGGAGCGUUCUGUAAGCCUGUGAAGGUGUACUGUGAGGUAUGCUGGAGGUAUCAGAAGUGCGAAUGCUGACAUAAGUAACGAUAAAGCGGGUGAAAAGCCCGCUCGCCGGAAGACCAAGGGUUCCUGUCCAACGUUAAUCGGGGCAGGGUGAGUCGACCCCUAAGGCGAGGCCGAAAGGCGUAGUCGAUGGGAAACAGGUUAAUAUUCCUGUACUUGGUGUUACUGCGAAGGGGGGACGGAGAAGGCUAUGUUGGCCGGGCGACGGUUGUCCCGGUUUAAGCGUGUAGGCUGGUUUUCCAGGCAAAUCCGGAAAAUCAAGGCUGAGGCGUGAUGACGAGGCACUACGGUGCUGAAGCAACAAAUGCCCUGCUUCCAGGAAAAGCCUCUAAGCAUCAGGUAACAUCAAAUCGUACCCCAAACCGACACAGGUGGUCAGGUAGAGAAUACCAAGGCGCUUGAGAGAACUCGGGUGAAGGAACUAGGCAAAAUGGUGCCGUAACUUCGGGAGAAGGCACGCUGAUAUGUAGGUGAAGUCCCUCGCGGAUGGAGCUGAAAUCAGUCGAAGAUACCAGCUGGCUGCAACUGUUUAUUAAAAACACAGCACUGUGCAAACACGAAAGUGGACGUAUACGGUGUGACGCCUGCCCGGUGCCGGAAGGUUAAUUGAUGGGGUCAGCGCAAGCGAAGCUCUUGAUCGAAGCCCCGGUAAACGGCGGCCGUAACUAUAACGGUCCUAAGGUAGCGAAAUUCCUUGUCGGGUAAGUUCCGACCUGCACGAAUGGCGUAAUGAUGGCCAGGCUGUCUCCACCCGAGACUCAGUGAAAUUGAACUCGCUGUGAAGAUGCAGUGUACCCGCGGCAAGACGGAAAGACCCCGUGAACCUUUACUAUAGCUUGACACUGAACAUUGAGCCUUGAUGUGUAGGAUAGGUGGGAGGCUUUGAAGUGUGGACGCCAGUCUGCAUGGAGCCGACCUUGAAAUACCACCCUUUAAUGUUUGAUGUUCUAACGUUGACCCGUAAUCCGGGUUGCGGACAGUGUCUGGUGGGUAGUUUGACUGGGGCGGUCUCCUCCUAAAGAGUAACGGAGGAGCACGAAGGUUGGCUAAUCCUGGUCGGACAUCAGGAGGUUAGUGCAAUGGCAUAAGCCAGCUUGACUGCGAGCGUGACGGCGCGAGCAGGUGCGAAAGCAGGUCAUAGUGAUCCGGUGGUUCUGAAUGGAAGGGCCAUCGCUCAACGGAUAAAAGGUACUCCGGGGAUAACAGGCUGAUACCGCCCAAGAGUUCAUAUCGACGGCGGUGUUUGGCACCUCGAUGUCGGCUCAUCACAUCCUGGGGCUGAAGUAGGUCCCAAGGGUAUGGCUGUUCGCCAUUUAAAGUGGUACGCGAGCUGGGUUUAGAACGUCGUGAGACAGUUCGGUCCCUAUCUGCCGUGGGCGCUGGAGAACUGAGGGGGGCUGCUCCUAGUACGAGAGGACCGGAGUGGACGCAUCACUGGUGUUCGGGUUGUCAUGCCAAUGGCACUGCCCGGUAGCUAAAUGCGGAAGAGAUAAGUGCUGAAAGCAUCUAAGCACGAAACUUGCCCCGAGAUGAGUUCUCCCUGACUCCUUGAGAGUCCUGAAGGAACGUUGAAGACGACGACGUUGAUAGGCCGGGUGUGUAAGCGCAGCGAUGCGUUGAGCUAACCGGUACUAAUGAACCGUGAGGCUUAACCUU
rnacentral:rRNA from 2 species